ACUCCCCUCCUGUCAAGGUGGACUGUAUUCAUCGGGGCUGGAUGUUGGAUGUGAAUGCAGGAGCAGCAUGGUCAUCACUGCGGGCAUACAGAGGAGUGGGAGGAAGGACGAUAGAGUAUGUCUUGGCCCAUCGGAGGCGGCUGGCGGCCAGGACUCCUCUCAGCUCGCUCCCUGAAGACCCCUGGCUCCACAGAAACAGGAAAUGCUUGCUGAUGACACCAAACCCUCGUGAGAACGGACAGACAGAGUAGCAG